UACGUAGGGGGCGAGCGUUGUCCGGAUUUAUUGGGCGUAAAGAGCUCGUGGGCGGCUUGGCAAGUCGGGUGUGAAACCUCCAGCUCAACCUGGAGACGCCACUCGAUACUGCCAUGGCUAGAGUCCGGUAGGGGACCACGGAAUUCCUGGUGUAGCGGUGAAAUGCGCAGAUAUCAGGAGGAACACCGGUGGCGAAGGCGGUGGUCUGGGCCGGCACUGACGCUGAGGAGCGAAAGCGUGGGUAGCAAACAGG
rnacentral:rRNA from 1 species